GUCUCAUAAGUCAAUUUGUUUGGCUGGGUGUUGAUUAUUUUAAAUAUUGUAUAUGUUUUACUGUACAUUGUUCAGCUGUUAAUCAAUACGUGACACUUUAAUAAAAUAAUUAUUAUAUAUAUAACGCAAAAUGCGUUAUAACGAAAAGGUUUGCGUAAUAUCGCAAUGGUUUGCGUUAUAUCGCAAAGGUUUGCGUUGUAACGCAAAGGUUUGCGUUUAACGCAAA
rnacentral:lncRNA from 1 species